GGAAGUAUUACUUUACUGAGGGUAGUGGAUGCAUGGAAUAGCCUUCCAGCUGAAGUGGUAGAGGUUAACACAGUAAAGGAGUUUAAGCAUGCAUGGGAUAGGCAUAAGGCUAUCCUAACUAUAAGAUAAGGCCAGGGACUAAUGAAAGUAUUUAGAAAAUUGGGCAGACUAGAUGGGCCGAAUGGUUCUGAUCUGCCGUCACAUUCUAUGUUUCUAUGUUUCUGUGUUUAAUCUCUCUAAUAUUCCUUUUCCUCUAUCUAACCACUGUGACAAACUCUCCUCUCCAAGUGAGUUUGCCACGAGCUCCUGGAGGAGCCUGCUUGCCAGCCUCCUGCUCAAAGACUAUGGGCCCUGCAGGGAAACCUGUAAAAGACUACCAAACUUGACCGACUGUUAGCACU